CCGUGGCUACAACCGCUCGGAUGCAGGUAGUAAGUGAUUUCGAUGAUUUUCAUCUUAAUUCACCUGUACACUGGCGAGUCUGAGUAUCAAA
rfam:Bacillus sp. SJS contig_03, whole genome shotgun sequence.